rnacentral:rRNA from 1 species
UACGAAGGGGGCUAGCGUUGCUCGGAAUCACUGGGCGUAAAGCGCACGUAGGCGGCUUUCUAAGUCAGGGGUGAAAUCCUGGAGCUCAACUCCAGAACUGCCUUUGAUACUGGAGAGCUUGAGUCCGGGAGAGGUGAGUGGAACUCCGAGUGUAGAGGUGAAAUUCGUAGAUAUUCGGAAGAACACCAGUGGCGAAGGCGGCCGGCUGGGCCGUCCCUGGACGCUGAGGCGCGAAAGCGUGGGGAGCGAACAGG